CUUGUAGUCUAAUGGAUAGAACAUCGGCCUCCGACGCCGUCGAUGCAGGUUCGAUUCCUGUCAGGCG
rnacentral:tRNA from 1 species